AGAGUUUGAUCCUGGCUCAGGACGAACGCUGGCGGCGUGCUUAACACAUGCAAGUCGUACGGUAAGGCCCUUUCGGGGGUACACGAGUGGCGAACGGGUGAGUAACACGUGAGUAACCUGCCCACAACUUUGGGAUAACGCUAGGAAACUGGUGCUAAUACUGGAUAUGUGCUCCUGCUGCAUGGUGGGGGUUGGAAAGCUCCGGCGGUUGUGGAUGGACUCGCGGCCUAUCAGCUUGUUGGUGGGGUAGUGGCCUACCAAGGCGGCGACGGGUAGCCGGCCUGAGAGGGUGACCGGCCACAUUGGGACUGAGAUACGGCCCAGACUCCUACGGGAGGCAGCAGUGGGGAAUAUUGCACAAUGGGCGCAAGCCUGAUGCAGCAACGCCGCGUGCGGGAUGACGGCCUUCGGGUUGUAAACCGCUUUCAGCAGGGACGAAGCUUUUGUGACGGUACCUGCAGAAGAAGCACCGGCUAACUACGUG
rnacentral:rRNA from 1 species